UGACUUUGAUUUGUGGUCUCCGGUUCCGAAUUCAUGCCGAAGCUCUGAUCCUGUGUCUUGAGAUACACAGCCAACCAGUCAUAUUUGCAUCAUUUGCAUCAUAGCAUGUUUAUUUUCAAAAAAUAAUGCAAUAAAAAAAAGAAAUGAAAAAAGAAAAGAGAAAAGAAAAAAGCUAAUCUCCUCAUGCAUAUCAUUUCUCAGGUUUAUUCAGGAGUCUGUUCACAGUGAGAGAUGGCAGCCAUUCCAGAGUUGAAGAGGAAGACUUGC
rnacentral:lncRNA from 1 species